rnacentral:tRNA from 1 species
GCUCUCGUGGUGGAACUGGUAGACACGCCAGACUUAAAAUCUGUUUCGAGUAAUCGAGUGCCGGUUCGAUUCCGGCCGAGAGCACCA